GGCCUGGUCGCCAAGAAGUAAGGCAACUCUCUGCAAAAGAGUUAUACGUGGGUGCGAUUCCCACCCAGGCCUCCA
rnacentral:tRNA from 1 species